UGACCCUCACGCCUCCAGAGAGCCUCAUUAAAAUGAGAUGUUUCCCUUCAGAGGUGAACUCAGUAAGUAACGUUUAAAUUUCUUAAUCAGGCCACACAGAGUUCCCAAAUAAAAAAUAGUUCUGAAAACAAAUCCUUCUGUCAGAGCCCGGGGCUUGCACCAUGGCAGCAAAAUCCUUCUGACUUAAAGUGGAGGGAGGAGGUGGUCUCUGAAUGAAAGACAUUUCAAAUUUUCAGUGUUCUAAUUGAGGAAUAAAAUGGUAUAUAUUCAGCUAGAAAGUAACCAUUGGAUCAAAUUAUACAGUCUUUUGAGUAAGCCAAUGUCAGCUUAAUAAUAUUUUAGCAUAUAAUAAAGUCGUGUGUAUCAAUUCUCAUUUUGAACCCAGGUUGAAUGUUACUGCUUCAAACAGUAAAUAAAAACUGAGAUUCUGAGAAUAAGGCCAGCUUUGAAUUAGUCAAAAUUGUUUUUAUUACUAGCAAACAGGCAAACCUGUGAUAAAACAGCAUUCAUUUUCCCCAUGCUAUUUCAAUAUCCUAUGUAAUUUUUCACUGUUGAAAGCACUCCCAGAGUACCCUCAUGAAUAAUCCCUGAAACCCCA
rnacentral:lncRNA from 1 species